CGCGCGCCAACGGGUCAGAUUCGGGACGAAUUUUCAAAAAUCUGAAUCCGAACCCCACUCCAAAUCCGAGACCCGAAUUCGAAUCUGAACCCGACAGAUUUUAAAAAUCCAUAUCCAAACCCAAACCGGACCAAAAAUUCGAAACCCGAACCCGAAUCCGAAUCUGAAAAUUUGAACCCGAAACACUUAUUUCUUUUUUCAAUAUUUUAAAACAUAUUAUAUUAAAUCUAAAUUUUUAAAAUACAAAUUCAAAUAUAACAUCAAAUUUAUAUAUAUAUAUAUAUAUAUAUAUAUAUAUAUAUAUAUAU
rnacentral:lncRNA from 1 species